rnacentral:rRNA from 1 species
CCUACGGGAGGCAGCAGUGGGGAAUAUUGCGCAAUGGGCGAAAGCCUGACGCAGCGACGCCGCGUGAGGGAUGAAGGUCUUCGGAUCGUAAACCUCUGUCAGCAGGGAAGAACGGUCACUGUGCUAAUCAGCAGUGAAUUGACGGUACCUGCAAAGGAAGCACCGGCUAACUCCGUGCCAGCAGCCGCGGUAAUACGGAGGGUGCGAGCGUUAAUCGGAAUUACUGGGCGUAAAGCGCUCGUAGGCGGUAUGUCAAGUCAAGGGUGAAAUCCCCGCGCUCAACGUGGGAACUGCCUUUGAAACUGGCAAACUUGAGUGUGUGAGAGGAUAGUGGAAUUCCAGGUGUAGGAGUGAAAUCCGUAGAUAUCUGGAGGAACAUCAGUGGCGAAGGCGACUAUCUGGCACAUAACUGACACUGAGGCUCGAAAGUGUGGGUAUCAAACAGGAUUAGAUACCCGUGUAGUC